AUACACGCCACCCACGCUAGAAAGAUGCAAACUUCUGCAACUGUGAAAAGACGAGCUUCGCCCUCGUCAGCCUGGAGAGAAGUGCAAGAACUUUGCACCUGAGGUAUUGUGAUCCUGUGGAAAUAAAACCAUCAAUCUGCCGAAGAGGCUAUUUAAAUUCACCUGAGUGAAAUUUUCAUUUGAAGAUAAUUCAUUGACUGAGAUCUGUUAUUCAAGUUCAAUAACAAACCAUGGGGAAUCAACCAUCAGAAUGCCAUGGAUGUAACUGUUGUGUCUGUGGUACUUGGCUUCCUCCUUGCACAUCAUUUGAUAACUUUAGAAAGGACUGGAUUGAGGGAUAUUAUGUCUACAUUUACAAUGGUGGCCAAUAUUACAGAGAAGUUGGGGCAGACAAUCAAUACAAGUGUCCUGACUGCUUCUAUCAGCCAAUAAGAGAACGACUUGAAAGAGAAGAAAGG